rnacentral:misc_RNA from 1 species
AAAUGUUGUGCUGUACCAUUUGUUGCUUCUGGACACUUUCAGACUAUUAAUGUGGCUGAAAAAUUGUCAAUCAUUGUCAAAGAGAUGAGAGUUCAAUUAACAGAAAAUGCAUCUGAUAAUCAUGCUAGCUAUGUUGAUGGUGAUGCGUCUCGAGUAAAUGGGGAGGCUCCUUUGUGUGUGUAUUUUAUAAAUGGAUCCUGCAACAAGGGCAGUCAAUGCUUAUUUUCUCAUUCACUUCAAGCAAAAGUACCUACUUGCAAAUACUUUUUCUCUUUACAGGGUUGUCGAAAUGGAGAGUCGUGUUUCUUUUCCCAUGAUUCGGGAUCAACAUUAUCAUUUAGCCUGACUCCAAGCUUGCCAGAGGAUGAUGAUUUCAAUGCUGCCUCCCUUCUACAAUUUCUUCCAGCAUCUCUAGAUGGAUGCAUUCUUCUAUUAGAUGACACUGACUUGCAUUUCUCCUCAAAUCUUGCUCGCCACUAUGAUCCCUCCAAAAUAAUAUCCACAACAAGCAUGUCUGACACUGCAAUAAGUGAUCCAUCGUUGGAGGGUGUCCGAAUUUUGUGGGGUCUCCAUCACCCGC